UUGUUUCUUGUUUCAGCAAACGUUGAUAACUCAAAUUUAUACCUUGCAAUUAUAUGUGUUGUAUACCUGAGUUAUCGUUGUCUUGUGAAAAAAGUUAAUCACCUUAUCACCAUUAAUUGCUUUAAGUCUAGGUGGGGCUGGUACAAUCUUAAAAUUGGAUAUGACGUAUACGUUGUCUUCGUUCAAUCUUUUGAUGUAUUGUGCUCGUUGGUUGAGUCUCAG
rnacentral:lncRNA from 1 species